ACCGUUAAUCCAAAGUUUUCAUUUCGUUUUUUUAAUAAUUUUUUUCUCUAAUAUCUUCGAAAGAGACUUUAAUUUCUUCGAAUUGGUGUCAAAAACUGCUAUAUGCAAAAGCAUAUGUUCAUUUCUCAUAAACUAGUUGCGUGUGUAUUAGCUGGCGGUCACUAAUCUUUUUGGGUAAGAUAUUUUCUCGCAAGUUGGGACAGUACUACUCCUCCUAGUCAAAGUUCAUCAGCCGUGUUGAGAAUCAGAACAUCAAUGAUCAACCCCCUUAGCUCCUUUCAGCAUUUAUGUACUUUCUCUUUGAAGCAUCAUCUCACGGGAUGCACACAGUGAACAGCUCAAUAACUUGCCGUGCUUGCUUUUGCAUGGUCAUAUCCAGAUAUCGAGUCACAGUUCGCAUACGAAUCUGAUCUCCCGGCUGGAUCAAGCGUAAAACAUGUCAUAUCCUAGGUUACCAUAUGUAUUUGAGAUUAAUCCUAACAAAUUUAUCAUAAGUAAGAUUGAUCAUAAAAAUAUUUAUUAUCAACAAAUUUUUUUACAAUGAUAUUUAUUUAUUUGUUUGUUUUAUGGGUGGCGUGUGGUUGGACGGAAGCAUGUUGUCAUGUAGCUCGCGGUUGGUGCAAUGCAAUUUGGACUCAGAGUUGGGUGGCUGUGGAAGUGCCAUUGAAGCAUGCUGGUGACCGACUUUAAGGUUUUGCAGGACCCACUGUAUGACUCCGAAUUUAGAAACUAGAGGCGGCUGACGCAACAAAAUUUAGCACGCAUGCUGGCUUGCGCCCCAGCGGCCCCGAAAAAGUAUUUUUUUACUCCUAAAUUAUGAGGUGUUUGGCUGUUUCCUCCUUUAACAGUUUACAUCGUGAUUCAUGCUUUAAGUAUUUUUCUUCCAAUAAAUUAUUUUUUUAUAAAAUAUGUUUUAAUGCAUGUUUAAAUCAUUUUUCAAAAGAACAUUUCAACGGUUGAUGGUUGGACAGAGGAUUGAAGUUUACCCGAAGUUAGAAGAUUAUCUUCUGUAUUUUAAUUUUUAAUACAUUUUUAAAUAUAC
rnacentral:lncRNA from 1 species